AGAGGUGGCAAGCGUUGUUCGGAAUUACUGGGCUUAAAGGGCGCGUAGGCGGUGGAGUAAGUCUGAGGUGGAAGAUUAGGGCUUAACCCUAAAAUUGCCUUGGAAACUGCAUCACUUGAGUCAGCGAGGGGAUGGCGGAAUUCCAGGUGUAGCGGUGAAAUGCGUAGAUAUCUGGAGGAAGGCCGGUGGCGAAGGCGGCCAUCUGGCGCUGAACUGACGCUGAGGCGCGAAAGCGUGGGGAGCAAACAGGAUUAGAUACCCUGGUAGUCCACGCCCUAAACGGUGGGUACUAGGUGUAGGGCUCGUAAGGGUUCUGUGCCGUAGGGAAACCAUUAAGUACCCCGCCUGGGGAGUACGGCCGCAAGGUUG
rnacentral:rRNA from 1 species